AGGUUCCUUUGUUUCUAAAGCAUUAACAGGAACUGGGGACUGAAAGUGUCUCCCAGGUGUCUCCUCAGCAUUGAACAAUCUCUGAAGUCACUGCCUCCCAGCACUGCUCAGGUUUGCCACAUGGGUAUAUUACCUAAGGCUGCAGUUUAGGCUUCUAAUAUACCCGUCACCCAAGUUGUGAACAUAGUACCCGAUUCUGCUUGAUGUGGAAAAGUGUCCAGGUAAAGAUAGCAAAUUUCUUAUUUCUCUCUUGUUUCUGAGGAUUGUCUUAUUUCUGAUACCAAAGGAAAAACAACGAGGAUUUCUGGGUAAAUUUUUGCUUUUCUGUUAUAGAUACUCUAUAUUGUUUGCUUCUUUUUACUGCUGAAAUCUGGUCAUGAGUUGGAGGUGAAGAGGUACCAUUAAGAUUCUAAUAAUGAAAGUUGCAUGUAAAAAAAUGGUUGGUUAUAAGUUUCUGAUCUUCAAUGACAACCUAAGAUAGCUACAGCAGUCCUGGCCUGACUAGUGUUAGGACUGGUCAGAAAUUCCUUUUGAAAUUUUUAAAUACUUUUAUUGUGCUAUAAUUCAUGUAUCAAUUCUCCCAUUUAAAGUAUGAAGUUCAAUGGUUUUUAGUGUGUUCACAGAUAACAUGCAACCAUAACCAAAGUCAGUUUUAGAAUUUUUUCAUGAGCUCAAAAGGAAAACCUGUGCCCUUUGCCUAUUACUCUCUAUACCCUGCUAUCCCUAAGACACCACUAAUGUAUUUUUGUCUCUGUAGAUUUUCCUACUCUGGACUUUUAUGAAUGAAACCAUUUGAUACAUGGUGUUUUGUGAUAGACUUCUUUGAUUUAGCAAAAUGUUUCCAGGUUGAUCGAUGUGGUAUCAUGUACCAGUACUUCAUUUUCUUAUGGCUGAAAAAAUAUCCCAUUGUAUUGAUAUGCCAUAGUUUGUUUAUCCGUUUAUCAGUUGAUGGGCAUUUGCACU
rnacentral:lncRNA from 1 species